GGGCGGAGCGGGCACCGCCUCCUUUCGUAGCGGAGCGAGCCGGGCGGCGGGCGGCUGCGGCCGCUGCGGAGGCCCCGAGGCUUCGGAUGGCUUGCAAAGCCAUCUCUUCUCUCCGGAGCCCUGGGCUCACGUCUCAACUGCGAGUUCUACGCAAAGGGCCCGGUCUUUUGGAGAUCGAUUUCGCUCUUCCACGACUCAUCCCAGGCAGAGUGGGGCAGGCUCGUGGCCCAGGCUGUGGGAGCUGGAGGUCCUGCGGACCGGACCCGCUCCACUGCCCUCCUUGGAGGGAAAGGACCAGGCCGAGGUCACACAGUGGGUAAGUGGCAGUGCCAGGGAGAGGAGCCAAAAUUCUGGACUCGAUACAAGAAUUCGGAUCUCGGGGCUGGUGACUGGUGCGCGGGCCUUGCGCUCGGCUGACGACGUCCCGGCUGCCACAGCCAGCUAGCUAUGCUUUGAGGAGUUCCGGGAGAACGUUCCAAGCGACCAUUUGUAAACCCGUGGAUCUUCCCUACGGCAGUGCGAGGAUUGCAAGGCCACUUCUGGGUUCUGAUACGCCCCAGGGAGCCGCUCCAGCCUCUGACUUGCAAUUUCGACCUUUAGAAAAGUGUGAGGUCAGCUUCAGAGUUGAUUUUGUGGCCAGGAGCAGGGUUCCUGGUGAGGAUCAGACACAGGCAAGUUAAUUUGUCCCCAGCCCUGGAAAAACUUUCCCCCUCUGGCUACAUCUUGCCACAAGUAUUUAUUGAGCACCAACUGUGUGCUAGGAAUUGCACUGGAGGUACAAACAGUGAACAUCUGCCCAGCGUCUCUUUACAAGCAGUCACACUUGGUAACUGCAAAAUGAAGGAAAGUCAAAACAAGCAAUUACCAGCCUAUUUGAGACAAAAAAAAAAAAAAAAGAAUUGGUGCUUUUAAGGGUUAAGGAUGUAGAUUUCUACUUUACAGUGAUGACAGCCUGUGCGGGUGUGUGUGUGUGUGUGUGUGCUUUUGGGUAUUUGUGGGUCUGAUUGUGUUUGUGUUACAAGGAAUGGGUAUGUAUUCGUGUGUGUGGGCGACUGUGCUCAGGAGGGAAUGUGAAUGACUGUGGGUGGGCUGCCAUGUGUAUUUGUGACUGUUUCAGUAUAAGUCCCUGAGUGUGUUCCCCCUUCUUGGGCGGCUGGGGCAGAGGCUAGAGGGAUAUGGGUGGGGAGGCCAGGGGUGGAGGGUUAGGAAUGGGUCUCUGGUGGGGUGCCAUGGAGGAGGCCUGACUUCCCAGCCUCUUUUUCCAUUCCCUAGCAAAGGCUGCUACCUGUUCACCUUCUCCUUUCUUCCUUCCCCCUGUCAUUCAAGGCUGGGAACCGGCAAGGAUGGUGCUAAGGGGCGCGGUGAUUUGGCUGGCAGUGGAGCAGGCUGGCUCUUGCUGGCCCCUGCUUCCUCCUCCCCACAUGGUCCAGCCCCUGCAGACUGCUCUGGCCACGGAAAGGAUCCAAGUUGUUUCAGAAGGAGCAUUGUACAGAAGGGGAAGAUGAAGUCUAGAGAAGGGGAGACAGUUGCCCAAAGUUGCUCGGCAGGAUCCUGAUCGUAAAAUUUGGACCCUGCACCCUCUCUCGCACCAACGCGGAUGAUUAAGGCCGUCGUUUA
rnacentral:lncRNA from 1 species